UACGUAGGGUGCGAGCGUUAAUCGGAAUUACUGGGCGUAAAGCGUGCGCAGGCGGUUAUUUAAGUCAGGUGUGAAAGCCCUGGGCUUAACCUAGGAAUUGCGCUUGAGACUGGAUAGCUUGGAGUGCGGCAGAGGGAGGUGGAAUUCCACGUGUAGCAGUGAAAUGCGUAGAGAUGUGGAGGAACACCGAUGGCGAAGGCAGCCUCCUGGGCUAGCACUGACGCUCAUGCACGAAAGCGUGGGGAGCAAACAGG
rnacentral:rRNA from 1 species